rnacentral:lncRNA from 1 species
AGCUAGGGCUCCAGAAAGAACCUUACUACCUACCUGGCUUCCCUACGUGCUUGCCGUGUGUUCCUUGACAGAUGACUCGACUGCCCUCUGCCUCUGCCUCCUCACCAGUAACGUGGCGCAGAUAGUAUUUCCCGUCUCAGAACAGGCUGUUAUAACAAACACUGAGGAGUGGGCGGUUUAAGCAGCGUUUGUCUAUUUCUCACAGUUUUGGAGGCUGGAAGCCUGAGAUCAGCGAAGAGCCUCUCCCGGUUUGCAGGCAGGCUGCCUCUGGCUGUGUCCUCAGGCGGCAGGGAGCAGAGCGAGAAGCCAGCUGGUGGAAGGGCUUGACCAGUUUUUACUCCCUUGAUGGUUCCACGGUAUAUAUCCUUUCGCAUUUUUCUGUUUUCCUACAUCUAAGUUCUAUCUUUCUCAGUAGCACAUAGUUUUUCUUUUCUAACAGUCUGACAAUGUUUUGCUUUAACUGGAAUAUUUUACCUAUUUUCAUAUAACGUGAUUACAGAUAAAUGUAGGUUUAUAGUUACCUGAAAUUAUUUUCUGUUUGUCCUGUCUGUUCUUUGUUCCCUUUUUCUCCUUUUUCUAGCUCUUUGUACUAUUUAUUGAGUACUUUUCAUUCCAUUUUCUGUGAUCAGGGUUUUAGUUACAAUAUGCAAACUUAAAUUUAUUAGAGUCAAAUCUCAACAUAGUAUAUUUACAACUUUGGGAUUUAAAAUAGUCAAUAUUUAUUCCUCUAGCCUUUUGUGCUGUUGUUUUCAUGUUUUCUAAUUCCUCAUAUAUUUUCAUUACCACAGACAUAAUUUUUUAUCAGGCAGUGUAACACAGAUUUACUCACAUUUAUCCUCCCCAGUGCUUUUCAGCCCCAUCUACUUUAUUGUGCUUCCUUCUAGAACCAUUUUCCUUCUCUCUGAAGAUCUCGAUUUGUUAUUUUAUUUGCAUACUGCUGACUUUUCUGAGUUUUUGUGUAUCUGGAAACAUUUUUAUGAAUGAAUUUUCUGAGUUUUUAUUAUGCUUUCAUUUUGAAGGAUAUUAUCUUUGGGUAUAAAAUUCUGGUGGGGGCAGUUAUUUACUAGUUUGUUUGAAAGUUUAAUGACAUCAUUCUUCUGGCUUCUUAGAAGAUUCCCAUUGUCAGUGUUUUAUUGUUCUCCUAAAUAAAUGUAUGUGUCUUUCUUUUCUUCCGGCCCCUUGUAAACUUUUCUCUUUGUCUUUGAUUUUUGGCAGUUUCUAGUGCAGUGAUAUUCUGAUAUUCUAGGAUAGUGAGGUUUUUUUUGGGGGGGGGUUAUCCUGUUUUUGAAAAAUCGUUUUGAAAAAUUCUCAUUCAGAAUAAAUAUUCUGAGAAUAUGCUCAGAAAGAGUAAAGAUAUUUUAAAAAUAUCUUUAUGAUUACACACACAUUAGGCUACAUGAAAUUGUUUCACAGCUCACUGAUUGUUUUAUCAUUUGUUUGGAUUAUUUUUUAUGAGCUUCAUUUUGGAUAUUUUCUGCUGCUAUAUCUUUAGGUUCACUAAUCUGUUCUUCAGCCACGUCUAAUCAGCUGCUUAUCUCAUCUAACAUAAUAUUUCAUUUUAGACAUUGUAGUUUUCAUCUCCAGAAGUUCGAUAUGGGUCUUUUAAAAUUAUCUUCCAUGUCUCGUGUCACCAUUUGAACAUAUAGAAUACAGUUUUAACAACUGUUUUAAUGUUUUGUCUGCUAAUUCUUACACUUGCAUUUAUUCUGGAUUGGUUCCAAUUAAUUGUUCUCCUUACUUUGGGUCAGGCUUACUGUUCUUUGAGUGCCUGGUAAUCUUUGUUUGAAUAAUAGACAUUGUGAAUUUUAUCCUGUUGGGCACUGGUUAUUUUUGUCUUUCUAUAAUUUAUCUUUGUUCUGGGAUGCAGUUGCUUGGAAAUAAUUUGUUCCUUUCACAUGUGAUUUUUAUGAUUCAUUAGGCAGGUCAUGACCAUGCUCUAUCUCAGGUUAAUUAUUCCCCACUGCAGAGGCACAACAUUCCUGAGUAUUCUAGCCAAAUGUCUUAUGAAUUAUGAGUUUUUCUAGUCUGCCUGUUGGGAACAAUCACUAUGCUCAGCUUCGCGUGAAUAGCAGGCAUUUGGGUGUCUUUUGAGUGUCUCUCCCCUACUUAAAUAUGGUAGUUUCCCACAUGCAUGUGUUGAUCUAUACACCGCUGUCUGUUCAUGGCGGACCUUUUCAGGUCUCCAGAGUUCUCUCUGUGUGCAGCCCUCUCCUUUCUAGCAUGCUAUUCGAUGAGUGCAGGCCAUCAUGACUUCCCAAAGCAUCAGGUCCAUCUCCUUGAUUCUGCCUGGGUUGUCCCUCCCUGCACUGCAGUCUGGAAGAUCUCCCAAGACACUAAACUAAGGCAUUCACAUCUUUCUUGUCUCUUAGGGUUCACUGUCCUUUGUUGCCUGAUGAGCAGUCUUGAUAACUGUUCUGUACAGUUUGUAUAUUUUGUUAUUUCAGGAAGCAAGUAAACUCAGGCCCCUUUACUCCACCUUGGGCAGAAGCAGAAAUUAGUGUGUUGUAUUUUAAUGCUUUAUUUGCCUGUGGAACUUUUUUAUGGUGCAUACUUUGGGAAAUUCUAGGUUAAAACAUUCAAGCCACAGGAACAACAGAAUCUGACAGACCCUAGACAUUCAAAUUCUUUUUUGAACUAAGAAAUGAAAUUUACAUUUUAAAAUUUAAAUUUCACUGAGAGAUAAAACUUGUUAAGUCAUUAACACGUAUCAGCAUUGAUGAGUUCAUCUGAAGAUUGGUUUUCCAUUUAUUUCCUUGUCUAACAGAUAGCUAAAAAAUGGUAGAAGUGAAACUAUAGAGUCAGAAAAUUAGGUUAUGAGGAAAGAAUAAAGAUAACGCCCAAAGCUUGAUAGUGUCAAAGAAGCAUUGUUUUUAGAGCUUUUAUAGGUGAGGCAGAUCUUUUUGAUGUUAAAUGAUUUGCCUAAGGUCAUACAGCUUGGACUGGAAGAGCUGGGAUUAGAACCCAAUUCUAAAUUAGACAACACACUUGGAUGUGGCCUUUGUACAGGAAAUGAUCAACAGAUGCUAGUUUUUCUUUUCUUCUAAAUCUAAUGCUGGAGCAGGGGUACUGAAUGAAAAAGUGGGGUCUUGUGAUAUUCUUUGAGAGGUCUACAGUAAGAAGUGUGGCUACUCUAACUUAUCAGAGACAUUGGUACAAUCAGGCCAGGGGCAGUAGGAUAAAAAGAAGGAACCAUAUUGGCCACUAGAGGACAAUAAUCCUAGAAUAGGAUGGAAACAAGUGACAUAUAUGGCACAUUUUUUAAAAAGUCACUGCCAACUACUGGGAAUACCUCCAGAUACACCUUCUUUCCUUCCUCUUGGAAUCCCCUCAUACACUGGCUCCCCAGCACCCAUGAGUCCAUUAACUGCCUGUUCAUUUCAGCUGCUCUGGAUUUAAUAGACCAGCUUUGGUCUGGAGAUUCAGUUCUGACCCACCGACUCCUUAAGUCUCUGAUUUAGGCAUCUGUCCAAAGUCCCUAAUGCCUCAACUCAGAAAAAAAUGUAUCCGUCCUUCGGCUCAGCUCCUAGAACACUGCUGGCUCAGACUCUAAAGGGGUGAAAGUGCCAGACCCAUGCUGUCCAAAACUUGCUUUCAAGCCAGCAUGAAGUCUGAAUGAGAAAUUAGCUGUGUCCUGAAUCCUGCUGUAGGUGCAACACAAUCCCAAAGGAGAGAAGGUUCUUUCCCUUUGCCCACAUCCCACCUUUGAGAGAGUGAGGCUCCCAUUCUGCAGGUGGAGGAUCUUUUGCUCCAGGGGAAAAUUAACAGACUUUUAUUUAGAGACUGUGGUCCUAAAGCCACAGAACUGGAUCAUCCAGGAGGCCAUGGACCCCUUAGUAGAGAGACAGAGACAGACAGACAGACAGACUCUGAAACUGAAUAGUUGAAAGGGUAUAAAAGACAUUGUUCCCUUCUGCUUGGGAAGGCAGCUAGUCCUCUGGUGGGGGUGGCCUGUGGAUUUUAGGGAACUGUAUUUUUGGAGCGCAGGCCCAUGUGAGGGUCCACCAGUAUUGAGUCCGGCUUAGGCCAUCACUCUGUGUCUGCCCAGUGUACACACAGGUGCCCAACAGGUGAUAGAGGAUCGGUGUUGGCUGGCACACCAAGGAGCACAAGGAGUGAACUGAUAAGGGAUGGUCAGAGUGCUAGGCUAAGAUGAUGUCUCUGUCCCAUUUUCCUGGGGUCACAUAAGUCUCUCAAUUCAUAACAGUAAUCAUCAAAGUUAUGAUCAAAGCAACAGCAUCUGAACACUUGAUAUGAAACAGGUAUUGCUAUAAGCACUUAUGCAUAUGGUUUCAAUUAGUCUUGCACAACCACCUUGCAUAAACAAGAGAGCUACUAACAGCCCCAUUAUACUAAUGAGGAGACUGAGGCACAGAAUGGUUGGUUAGUAAUUGGUCAAGUUCAUGCAGUGACUGAGUGGUAGUCUGAGCCAAGCAGGCCAAUAUUGGUCAAUCUUGGACUUCCCUCCAGUUGCAUGGCGGGAGCUUGGAGCUACGGGUAAUCUGACUUUAAAAAAACAGAGAACUGCUAUGUUUCUCAUUCCCAGAUAUUAGACUGAAGUUUUUAUCUUCUGCACCAGCCAGCCCUGAUAAGAGGGUGCACCUUUAUUUGUAGAAAUGGUGUGAGUUUGAGCAUAGCUAUCAGACUCUGAAAGGUAUAUGGAAGAAAAUCUCCAAAUUCCCCUUCCCUGAAAACUAUGAAGAAAGGAGGAGGCAGCUCUCUCUUAAGGGCAGAAGAAAUGUUUUCAUGACCCUGCAGGGUCAUGAAAAGAAUUCCAUGGGGAAAAAAAUAAAACCCCAAAACAACAACAAAGACAACAUCAAAAACUCCUGAAUUUUGUGGGUUUUUUUUUUUUUUUCAAUUUGAAUUUCUCUUUUUGGAUGGACAGAAAUUCAACUAGUUUGCUAUUCAAUUUAAAAUUUAAGUAAGAACCUUAAUAUAGCUGGCAGAUUUUCAACUGACUAUUAUUUCUGUAAUUUAUACUAUCCAAGGCAAAUUUCCCCAAAUAUUUUGAUCAGCAUUUUUAAGAGGCAGAGAAUCAGGCAGAUGAUAGCUCAAAGUAAAUGCAAUUAGCACUUACAAAGUAAAUGGGAAACUUGGGCUCUUAACCUGGAGAAGCUCAAUCUAAGCGGAGGUACCAGAAAAAUACACAUCUAAGUGCUUAACAGAAUGUCCCAAAACAAAGCAUUGCUGUGCAAAAAUAUGCAGUCAUAGGAAUGAUAGCUAUCAUUGCCAUAAUUUAUGGAGACUCUAUUGCUGUGUGUUGGCACCUAGGUACCUUAUCUAUGCUAUGGUGGUUACACUUCACUUUCAGAUGAGGAAACCAAAACCAGACAUGUUAAAGGACUUGCCCACAACCACAUGGCUACCAAAUGGCUACCAAACGACAGAACCAGUUCUCAAGGCCAAGUCUGUCUGACCCCAUCACCCUUGCUCUUACCACAAUCCUUCUAAAGACACAAGAGCAGUGGAUUCUUAGACAUCAGGUGGAACUGGUAACAUACAGAUCUUUGAUGGAGACAAAUUUAAGAUCAGCUUAGCUGGGAGGACCCUGCAUAUACCAGCAGGGUGAAGGGGCACAUGUGAUAACUUAAAAGUAAAAUGCUGGCGCAUGGCAGGAGAG